rnacentral:rRNA from 1 species
CACGUAGGGCGCAAGCGUUGUCCGGAAUUAUUGGGCGUAAAGAGCUCGUAGGCGGCUUGUCACGUCGGGUGUGAAAGCCCGGGGCUUAACCCCGGGUCUGCAUUCGAUACGGGCUAGCUAGAGUGUGGUAGGGGAGAUCGGAAUUCCUGGUGUAGCGGUGAAAUGCGCAGAUAUCAGGAGGAACACCGGUGGCGAAGGCGGAUCUCUGGGCCAUUACUGACGCUGAGGAGCGAAAGCGUGGGGAGCGAACAGG